CGGCGGACGGGUGAGUAAUGCCCAGGAAUCUGCCUGGUAGUGGGGGACAACGUUUCGAAAGGAACGCUAAUACCGCAUACGUCCUACGGGAGAAAGCAGGGGACCUUCGGGCCUUGCGCUAUCAGAUGAGCCUAGGUCGGAUUAGCUAGUUGGUGAGGUAAUGGCUCACCAAGGCGACGAUCCGUAACUGGUCUGAGAGGAUGAUCAGUCACACUGGAACUGAGACACGGUCCAGACUCCUACGGGAGGCAGCAGGA
rnacentral:rRNA from 1 species